UACGUAUGUCGCAAGCGUUAUCCGGAUUUAUUGGGCGUAAAGCGCGCCUAGGCGGUUUGGUAAGUCUGAUGUGAAAAUGCGGGGCUCAACUCCGUAUUGCGUUGGAAACUGCCAAACUAGAGUACUGGAGAGGUGGGCGGAACUACAAGUGUAGAGGUGAAAUUCGUAGAUAUUUGUAGGAAUGCCGAUGGGGAAGCCAGCCCACUGGACAGAUACUGACGCUAAAGCGCGAAAGCGUGGGUAGCAAACAGG
rnacentral:rRNA from 1 species